rfam:Oceanobacillus oncorhynchi strain Oc5 genome assembly, contig: CONTIG000001
AUAACUUUUAAUCAGAUCCAGAGAGAUUUGAAAGGUUGUUCAGAAUAGCGAAUGCUUAUAGGGUAUUCGUCUAGCUCUCUGCAGCCUUUGCAGGGAGCUUUUUUUU